ensembl:lncRNA
AGCAAAGGGAGCUGUGGAAUUUCUACUCUUGCCACUAGUUUACAGACAGCAGGGGAAGCACUGAUUACACAUAGCUUCUUUCCAUCUUUCCAGCUGUGAAAUGAAGCCUGAAGAUAAACAGGAGGCUGAGACCACCCAGACUGCUGGGAAGGUGGAGCCUGUUAAUGCUGUGCUCAUCCAAAGGCACCCAAAUGCCCUGCAGACUCUUGGACAACAGUUGCUCCGUAGUUUGAGGGAGCCAAGAACUCCUGAGCCGAGAAGAAGGUGCUGCAAAAAUUGGAUCUGCCUGUUGGCAGGCCUAUUGUUUCUUGCUGGACUUGUGCUGUUCAUUUUACAUGAGGGCAAUAUCCUUUCUGGUCACCCACAUGCCAAAGUACACUAUGAAKAA